UCCAUGUGAGCCUUGAGCUUUCUCUCUGCUGUCUGCUAUCAGACCAGCUAAGUUUCCACUUCAGAUCAUUUCUUCCAUUUAGAGCUUUCUUCCCAAAUACACAUUGACACGCACAGUUGGUCUCCCUGAAGCCUGAGAACUCCUCUCAGUAUCGACUCGACGAUGCUCUCUCUGAACAUCCAAUACGAGAGAGCGUUAUCUGAAAUCUUUACCUUCCUUGGCCUGAUCUGUUUAUCUUUAGCACCAGAAUCUGUGCAGUCUUCCUCUGUCUCGAAGGAUGCUUGCGCAUCCCAGCUGUACAUCCCCAGCAUGGCAUUUAUUCCCAUCUGAGCAGCUUAACCUAUCAUAGGGAAAAAUGCCAUGGAAGGAAAUCAAGAAUGGCUGGGAGAAUCGAAGCUACAUAAUAUGGAUGAGGAACUGGUAUGGCGUCCUAAUAAACUGAGUAGCAUGAAAGCCACCCAGGAAACUGUUUUGUGAAAGAAAAUUACAGUUUUUGAGAUAUAAAGUUAGUGGGAAAAUAUCAUCAAAUGGUGCGUAUUCUCAAUGCAUUCUCAAUGCAUUCUAUAGGGUACCCUCUGAACGAAGGACUGGAACUGCUCUUUUGUCCCCAAGGGGGAAAUCUAUACAGUAGAAAUCUUGUGAGUAAGGUAUCAGCUGCCACAAGAAAAGACUAUAGAGAAAGCAAUAACCAAAGUUCAAAGGGUCCCUCAGGGCACUGGAAGUUCGAGAGUUUAGCGCGCUUUCAGCAGAAGCUAGCCAACCAAUUCAACAGCAAUGAAAUAUCCAGCUUAGCUAGGGCAUCAGGCCAAAUACCUUGUAUCUAUAUGUCACCCACUCUGUGCCAGAAAGACUCUACCAGCUGUAUAACAAAUAUUAACUCAUUUUAGCCUUAAAAAGAACCGAGGGGGUAAAUAACCUUGUCAUCAUUUUACAGUACAACACAUCAAGAAGCAGACAUCACUGAACUUGACCAAGUUGACACCUUGCCAGUAAGUGGCAGAGCCAGCUUUGACAAUGACUUUUAAUGUCUGCUCUCUGUUUCGCAGUAUUUCUUUUUAUGCCUCAACUGGAAAUGAGUUGCUAUCCUAUUUUUAUCUUCAGAAAAAAAAAAUCAAAAUGUCCACGUGUGACAGACUGGCUUCUCGGAGGCUCAGGUUGUAGGGGGAGCAUAACUCAGGGCUUGGUGGACAGACAUCCUGAAAUCCUGUGCAGUCUGAUGGACUCCACCCCUUUUUGAGCAUGAAUUGUUUCUUUGGUCUAUUCCUCACUUCUUCCAAAUCCACAAGAAAGGACAUGUCCUUUUCCUGACUAGCAUAUGUCCUAUAUCAAGCAAGUGUCUGUAAAACAGAAGAAAAGAGUGGUAGUAAAAAGAAGAGAUUUAGCAUCCUCACAGCUGCUUUGUCUAGGACCCGAUUGUCUUCACCACUCUCUUUACGAGGAAGCUAUCAAGAGAAAGGAGCCACUAGGAACCCAGAUCUCAAACUAAAUAUGCAGCCCCUGUGGCUUUGAAAAUAAUCCAUUGCAAAUAGGUUGGUUUUUGGGUUAAAACAAAAACAAAAACAGGAAUAUUGUUUUCCAGGAAGAUUGCCUCAGCAUGAACAAAAGGUUAGCGUGUACCUCUGGGUUGCUAUCAAAAAUCUCAUUCUGAUUAAAUGUAAUAAAAUAGAGUCAAUACUAAAAUAUUAAUAAAAUGCUGUUUUUCCCUAGAUGCUUGCCUCUAAUGAAGGUAUUUUGAUGCUAUUUAUGAAGUAAAUUAUAUUACUUAGUACCCAAAGGUGCUAUUUUGUCUGUGGAAAGUAAUCACAUUCUAAUCUAAUGACAAAGGAUAAAAAUCAUGCCUGACUAAGUGUAAACCUGGCUAUCCAGCUUCAGGAUGACUACAUUUUGGGAGGCUAUAGACCUGGCGAUGCUUGUUAUAACACCAACAUUACCAUGCUUAAACUUUUCCGUUUACUGUAUAUUCUGUGUGCCUUCUUCUGGAUCCCACAUGCCCACAUCAUCUCUUCAUGAAUAUUUAAUCCCCACCCCCUCCAGGGAAGGCAACUCUGAAACCACCCCUCUAGAAUAAGAACUGUAAACCAGGCUGAGGGGGAAAGUGAGACGGGAGAUGAGGUGAGAGCAAAUGUAAACGGACAGAUGGAAAAGAAGAGCAGAGCGUCCCAGAGUCACCCUCACAGGAAGCCAAAGGAACAAUUAUUAGCCAGGAGGGGACAGAGCCACUCUGGAGGCAUUAAACCUCUAAUAUAUUCCCCAAGUGGAGAUGUGGGUUCUAUUCUGAGGCAAGGGGAGGAGGUUAUGAAUACUUUAUAACGCUUGCAUUAGAGAGCCCCAUGUCAGCAGGAAUAGAUUGCAUCCUUUAGAUGAGAAAGCCACUCCCUGGUCAGUGGUUAGAGAUUUUUAAAAGUCUUGAAGAGAACUUCCUGGAGGCAAUUGAGUCACCAAACACCAGUGAUUUAUGAACAGACAGGAAACCUUUAGUCGGGGGAAUAAUAAACUCCUUCAUUAGCAUCCAUUAGGCCCAGGAGUGUACUUGGCCUCCUAGAAACGUUGAGCAGGAAAGCAUUAGUGCAAUCACCUCUUGGAUUGCCUGUAGACAAUGGGAGAAGAGCUAUGAGUGUGAAUCCUCUCUUCCCUUCCAUCAUCACCCCUUAGUGCCUACCUUAAGAUGGGAGCAGCAUAGCUGGGGGUUGAUUUUCUUAGGAAGGUUAGGGCUUGGUGGGAUUUCUUAAACUUCUAAUGGUUGAAUCCAAAUUUCUAGGAAUCAUGUACUUGUGUAGUACCCAGGGACCUUUACUUGAUCCACUUCACUGUCAAAGCACAUUUUCCUUUAAGAGAGUGUAGGAAGCACUCGGCCCAAGUCGUAGAUUCAGUAGUAUUACAGUAAGUACUUGCCUUUCCCUUAAGAAAAAUAAGGGCUAACUAAAUUCUAUGCCUAAUUAAUUUCAUUAAAAUGGCAUUUGGUUCC
rnacentral:lncRNA from 1 species